GCCUUCGUAGCUCAGGGGAUAGAGCAACUGCCUCCGGCGCAGUAGGCCGCAGGUUCGAAUCCUGCCGAGGGCA
rnacentral:tRNA from 1 species